rnacentral:rRNA from 1 species
GAUGAACGCUGGCGGCGUGCUUAACACAUGCAAGUCGAACGGGAUCCAUCAGGCUUUGCUUGGUGGUGAGAGUGGCGAACGGGUGAGUAAUGCGUGACCGACCUGCCCCAUACACCGGAAUAGCUCCUGGAAACGGGUGGUAAUGCCGGAUGCUCCAGUUGAUCGCAUGGUCUUCUGGGAAAGCUUUCGCGGUAUGGGAUGGGGUCGCGUCCUAUCAGCUUGACGGCGGGGUAACGGUCCACCGUGGCUUCGACGGGUAGCCGGCCUGAGAGGGCGACCGGCCACAUUGGGACUGAGAUACGGCCCAGACUCCUACGGGAGGCAGCAGUGGGGAAUAUUGCACAAUGGGCGCAAGCCUGAUGCAGCGACGCCGCGUGAGGGAUGGAGGCCUUCGGGUUGUAAACCUCUUUUAUCGGGGAGCAAGCGAGAGUGAGU